GAAUCAACUUUAUUUUGCAUGUUAAUAUUUUUGUUCUCAAAUCCAAUUUAUUAAUUUUUAUUUUCACGUCUUAUUAUUUUAAUUCACGCGAACGAGAAAGCCAUUCGAGUCUCUUGGGAAAACGAUACUUGGUCUUACCAUUUAUAUUACUUGUACGAUUUGGUACACUUGCCAAUUUGUCAACAGCAGGUCUAAACAUCUUCCAUGAAUAUAGCACCCAACCUUGCCUGGUUUUUUCUCUUUGUAGUGUCGCUGCCAUUAAUGCCCCUUGUCAUCACCUACGGCCACCACCGAGCCUACAACUGGAAACAAAACUCAGAAUCACCAUUGACAAAGCCGUUGAGUUUAAUGCCUUCUUUCCCCUUUCAAUCUGGGUCUUCUUAUGACUGUUCUUCAUUGAAUUUUGUAUGGUUUUGGUUGAUGACGGUUAGAAGUUAGCUUAUGGCUUGCUGGAAUUUCUUUAACACGGAGAGUUUGGAAUAGGAAGAGUAUACUGUGAAUGGUUUCCAACAGUACUAGAGAAGCGUCGAAGACUGCCAAGAGUUAAUUAAUUCAAUUAUUUUGAUGUUGAUAUUGAUAUUGAUACUGAUGAAGGUGUUUUUUCUGUGAGAGAUGAUGGAGGAAUUGAACCGUGUGUGUGAUAGAGGAAAAACGGGUUUUUGGUCCCUGCUCGGUUGAUUUUUGUUUUUUUUCAUUUGGUUCACUGCAAGUUGAGGGUGGGGAUCCUGAUGGGUGAUGUAGAUGGAGUUUAUGAAGCGAGGGAAUGAGUUUCUCUGUUGUGUGUGAUGAGGGUGUAGAAGUGAAGGAGUAGGAAUUGUGAGAGGGUCCUUGAGUGGAUCAGUGAAUCAUGAUUUUUCGAGGGAGGAGGCUAGGUGUAAUUGAUGAUGAUAGUUUUCUUUGGUUUUUAGGAGGUGAUGAUGAGAUAAUGGUGGUGAAACCGGAAUGGCCGAGGUGUUGCUCUUGAAGCUGUGAUUGUGAGGUGUUGGAGAUGGAAGAAUUUCGUGAAUGAAGGUGGAUGAGGUGGGAUGAUUCUGUUGGAGGUGUGUGAUGUUUAUUCAGGUGGUGCUGAAUUGUUGAUGAUGGAUCAAUGGGGUUGGAGAGUAGAGGAAUCAGUUAGGAUGGGGUAAUGAGGUAGUGGUGCCCCAUGGGAAAUUGCAUGUUAUCCCCUCUGGAAUAAUUCGUUUCUGUUUUGCCCUAAGGAGAUUUCCGUGAGAGUCGUGUGCUUGUCCAGGAAUUGAUUUGAUAAUUUUUGUUAAGCUUGUAACCAGUGCCACGUGAGGAAAUGAUGGUUGUUGCCUAUGCUGAUGGAGGAACAAUUUCUUUUUUUGUUCAAAGGCAUUGAUCACAUUGCUUUUUUCUUUUCUUUUCUUUUCUUUUUUGUUUUUUUUUUUCUUUCUUUUUUUCCUUUUUCUUUUUUCCUUUUUUCUUUUUUUUUUAUUUUUCGUUUCUUUUUUCAAAAAGAAACAAAUAAAAUAUAAAAUAAAAAAC
rnacentral:lncRNA from 1 species